GGACAGCCUCUUCACAUCAUUAUCAACAGAGAAGAGAGAACGCACAGGAAGCGAGAAGCACUCACACCACAGCAGAGCAGUGAAUUGUUCCCCGCUACACCACAGGAGUACAGGAAAUCGAAAUUGCCAGGUGUACGGACACUGUAGUUUCAGAACAAAAUCAGCAACAGCAAACAUGUUUAAGUCAUCGACAGCCAUGAUACCGACGUGCAGGUGAAAGAGAGGAAAAGUCACAGUCAACUGGACAUUUAAUAAUCUGAUCCAAAAAAAAAGUAUAUUAAUAAGAGGCGAGUGGCUUUAAACAAUUUGCAUUACAAUUUACAUUUGGUACUGGGGUAAAAACCAUAGAAAGGAUUCUUAGAGCGGUUUAGGCAGCGCGUGAACUUCGUGUGGAAACAAUGUCCAGAAAAAAGACGGUAAAGGGCAAAAGUAGCACCAGUAGCCCAACGACGGCUUCGACAAACAGCAAAAGCGAUGGCAAAGCCGGAAAGGGCAUCGUCGGUAGCGAGGUCCAGUCUAACGGAGUGGUCCACCCAAGCCGACCAUCUCUCAGCAACAGCAGCGAGUUUUACGAUAUGGCUUUUAAGGUGAUGCUGGUCGGGGACUCCGGAGUGGGAAAGACCUGCCUGCUGGUGCGCUUCAAAGACGGAGCCUUCCUGGCCGGGAGCUUCAUCUCCACCGUGGGGAUCGACUUCAGAAAUAAAGUGUUGAACAUUGAUGGGAUGAAGGUCAAGCUCCAGAUCUGGGACACGGCCGGACAGGAGCGAUUCCGCAGCGUCACACACGCCUACUACCGGGACGCCCACGCUCUCCUGCUCCUGUACGACGUCACCAACAAAACAUCCUUCGACAACAUCCAGGCCUGGCUGACAGAGAUCCACGAGUACGCCCAGCAGGAUGUGGUGCUGAUGCUGCUUGGCAACAAGGCCGACGCCUCGCAGGAGAGGGUGGUGAAGCGGGAGGAGGGCGAGAGGCUGGCCAAGGAUUUCGGGGUGCCGUUCAUGGAGACCAGCGCCAAAUCGGGCCUCAACGUGGAGCUGGCGUUCACCGCCGUCGCCAAAGAGCUGAAGCACAGGUCCAUGAAAGAGCCCAGCGAUCCCAAGUUUAAGCUGCAGGACUACGUCAACAAGGAAAUGAAGAGCUCUGGAUGCUGCAGGUCCUAAACCUGUGCCAGAACGCCAGAAGAGGCUGCGUGUGUGUGUGUGUGUGUGUGUGUGUGUGUGUGUGUCUGUGUGUGUGCGUGUGUGUGUGUGUGUUUGCACGCGUGCAUACUGUAUGCUCAUGUAUGUGUUUGUGUGAAUGUAUGCGUGUUCGUCUGUCCGAGUACAGAAGUGUGUGUGGAUGUGUUAGUCUGGCAACCUGCCACAGUGCAGGUGUUUGUCUGUGUGUGUGUGUGUGUGUGUGUGUGUGUGUCAGUCUGUCUGGGUGCAGUUGUGUGUGUGAGAGAGAGAUAGCGAGAGAGAUCCUAGCAUUUCAGUCUCUGUUACGGAUGGUCACAUUAUUUCAGAGGAGAGGUGUGAGUGUGACAUCAGCCAUCUGUCACCGUCCUGCACGGACCGGAUCACACAGUGACCAUGCCGACCAUCACUCACUUUCCUCUGAGCCCAAUGACUGUGAUUUCUUCCCCCGCCUCCCGUCCCUGUCCCCGCCCCCCGUCCUGUCCCUGUCCCCACCCCGCCCCAGCUCUGCUCUGCCCACCUCCCUCUACAGCUGUGAAUGUAUCCCAGGAUGACAGGCCUUUAAAAACCCACCCCUACACUCACGGUGUCACCCUCUGUCAAACACUCUCUCACCCCCUAGGGUCAAAUACCUCAGAUUGCAUGACCCCCAGAAUUACAGUAAAUACCCCAGGCUCUGUUUCGCCUACAGUUAAUUACCCCAGACUGUGUUCCUUCCCUACGGUUAAAUGCUCGAAACUAUGUUUCCCCCACAGUAUAAAAGACCUGACUGUGUUACCUCCACAGUUAGCAUCAUUCCCAUAUUUAAAUACCCCUGUCUGUGUUACCCCAAGGAUAAAUUCAGCAUACUGUGUCACCUCGAGUUAAAUUACCCCAGAUUGUGUUACCCCUGUAGCUAUAUACCCCAGGCUGUGUUACCCUGUGGUUAAAUAUACCAUGCUGCCGUACUGCCCCAGUGUGAGCUGUGCUUUCUUGUGCCGUUGUUAGACUCACAGCUUUGUAAAAGAGAUGGGUGUGCUUGCAGUGACGGCCCAUCGCAGUCACCAUCGCCAUGGCAUCGGCUGUCACUCAGAACCCACACCAUCGCAAAUACUGUGCGCUGUAUGUAAGGCUGUGUAACUGUACUCCCAUUAGCAUCGGUGAAACUCACCAUCAUUUCUUACAUGGGGUCUGUCUCUGUGACCCACGGGGGGGGUGUUCCACAGACCCCGGCCCCCUCCUGGUGGAAGACUAAGGAUAGGACACAGUUCUCCUGCUUUUUCAGGGCCCAUUACUCCAUUGUAAUUUUGUUUUUCCUCAAGUUGGAAUUAACAAAAUCUAAAAGGGGGACUGAGAUAACAGGAGCUACUUGGUAGGACUAUUUCGAAAGCCAGCGAGCCAACACAAAUUUCAGGCCAAUAUCAUAUCAGACCAGGGGUUGGGGAGCGACCUCACUACCAUUCAGCAAUACGGUGACUGUAGAACCGAGGGCCCGUUUGCUCAUUUCGACAGAAGGGCACGGGUUCGAAUCCCGCCGGGGGCAGUGUUUGUCGUAGCCUUUUGCGUGCUUCUUAGCCUGCACUGUUCCAGUACAUAGUUUCAUACAUGUUUCAGUACAAGCAGUAUAUAGCAGUGCCGUGUGAAACGUUAUGUACAGUAAUGUCCAGUGGUCCUCUUAGCGUGUAAGAGCAAGGUGAAUAGGUUCAUUCGUAUUUGAUCCCGGGCCUACUCUGGCAACAGCACACCCUGCGGCGACUCCCAAAAUGGGACAAGCUUUGCACCAUUUGCUGUCACUGGCACCGCUUUGAACCAAUCGUAGUGGUUUUUCUUUUGAGAGCCAAGUCUCAUUGGUUCAUCCCAGCCUGUGAAUGACAGCACAUGGCAGCCCUACCCUUUUGGGCAUUUACAAUAACACUCUGUCCAAUCAUUGGUUAGUCCCUUGUCCAACAGGAGUCCCAUUAAGGGUGGAUGUGGGGGGGGUGAGGCACCAUUACCUUGGUAAUGGCUGGAGCCACAUUCUGCCAAUCACCACCCAUCACCUCAGAACCAAUUUUUUUUUUUAAACUGCUCGCCAAGGCAAAAUACAUUGGGUUCACAUCUGUAAGCCAUUUGACAGCACGCGAUGGCUCCACCCAUUUUAAGGUUCAUGAAGCCUCACUCUCCCACUAUUCCCGCCCGUUACUGAGAUCCGCUGGUUUGAACCCAUGCCAGUUCGGGCCGUGAAGCCCCCCUAAAACAAAGAGCACGCCGGUUUACCACAGCGACAGGAGCGGGUCACUGUGGCGUUACCUGUGACGUUCUGGCAGACAGUCGCCUUCCUUUCAAAACAGAAAUGACAUCAAGGAAAACGUGUACACACAAUACCAUUAUUUUGUACAGAGUGUAUAAAUAUCUGUAGCUUAAUCGUUUGCAUUACUUGUUCCGCAAGUGGUUAUUUUUUUAAAGCCUUAGAAAUGAAAAUGCUUUAGUGAUGUAGAAAUAUAGAUGUUACCACACUGCAGGUAAGGGGUACCCUGGAAACUGCAGGAAGGGGGGCCCUGGAAACUGCAGGAAGGGGGACGGACCAAGCGAAAACCGUGUCACUGAAAAAAAUUAAAAACCUUGGUACUCUGUCAUUUUGUAUCAGUGUUGUACAGCAACUUGAAAUACGAAAAAUAAUUAAUAAAAGGGACACGUUUAAUUUUUAUUUUUUGCAAUAUUUCAGAGGCUACAGUAUUUUGUCGUUGAGUCUAAGAAAUGUGGACCGCUGCUUUAUUUAUAAAAUGUAUGAAUAUGCUGCAUAUACUGUGUAAAGAUCUUUGCAUUUGCCAUCCCACAGUAAUACAGCAAAAUCAUCUUUUUAGGAUCUGUCUUACCAGAUUAUCUCUUACUUUGAGAAGAUUCUGAUUUUUUUAGAUGGUUGCUACAGUGUAAUAACAGUGUUUGAUGUGAUUGCCUAAUGUAUUUGACUGUAUUUUCAACCCAAGAUUCGUAAUUUAUUAUUACUAAAAUUACUAUCAAUACCACAUUAAAUAGAAAUGUACAGAAUUUACAAUAUGUCUAGUCUAAAAGGUCAGUGUAUUGUGGCCAUCUUGGAAAUGUACCUUUUUUUGCAGAAAUUUUCAGUGUGCUUGUACCUUAAACCUAAUUAAAAACCCGAAUUUAAUAAAGAUUACGAGCAACAGGCUCUGAGCGUU